rnacentral:rRNA from 1 species
GGGGGCAACCCUGGUGGCGAGUGGCGAACGGGUGAGUAAUAUAUCGGAACGUACCAUUCAGUGGGGGAUAACGUAGCGAAAGUUACGCUAAUACCGCAUAUUCUGUGAGCAGGAAAGCAGGGGAUCGCAAGACCUUGCGCUGAUUGAGCGGCCGAUAUCAGAUUAGCUUGGUGAGGUAAAAGCUCACCAAGGCGACGAUCUGUAGCGGGUCUGAGAGGAUGAUCCGCCACACUGGAACUGAGACACGGUCCAGACUCCUACGGGAGGCAGCAGUGGGGAAUUUUGGACAAUGGGGGCAACCCUGAUCCAGCCAUGCCGCGUGAGUGAAGAAGGCCUUCGGGUUGUAAAGCUCUUUCAGCCGGGAAGAAAACGCAUGGGUUAAUACCCUGUGUGGAUGACGGUACCGGAAUAAGAAGCACCGGCUAACUACGUGCCAGCAGCCGCGGUAAUACGUAGGGUGCGAGCGUUAAUCGGAAUUACUGGGCGUAAAGCGUGCGCAGGCGGUUUUGUAAGACAGGCGUGAAAUCCCCGGGCUUAACCUGGGAACUGCGUUUGUGACUGCAAGGCUAGAGUACGGCAGAGGGGGGUGGAAUUCCACGUGUAGCAGUGAAAUGCGUAGAGAUGUGGAGGAACACCAAUGGCGAAGGCAGCCCCCUGGGUCGAUACUGACGCUCAUGCACGAAAGCGUGGGUAGCAAACAGGAUUAGAUACCCUGGUAGUCCACGCCCUAAACGAUGUCAACUAGGUGUUGGGAGGGUAAAACCUUUUAGUACCGGAGCUAACGCGUGAAGUUGACCGCCUGGGGAGUACGGCCGCAAGGUUAAAACUCAAAGGAAUUGACGGGGACCCGCACAAGCGGUGGAUGAUGUGGAUUAAUUCGAUGCAACGCGAAAAACCUUACCUACCCUUGACAUGCCAAGAACUUUCCAGAGAUGGAUUGGUGCCCGAAAGGGAACUUGGACACAGGUGCUGCAUGGCUGUCGUCAGCUCGUGUCGUGAGAUGUUGGGUUAAGUCCCGCAACGAGCGCAACCCUUGUCGUUAAUUGCCAUCAUUUAGUUGGGCACUUUAACGAGACUGCCGGUGACAAACCGGAGGAAGGUGGGGAUGACGUCAAGUCCUCAUGGCCCUUAUGGGUAGGGCUUCACACGUCAUACAAUGGUCGGUACAAAGGGUCGCCAAGCCGCGAGGUGGAGCCAAUCCCAGAAAGCCGAUCGUAGUCCGGAUCGCAGUCUGCAACUCGACUGCGUGAAGUCGGAAUCGCUAGUAAUCGUGGAUCAGAAUGUCACGGUGAAUACGUUCCCGGGUCUUGUACACACCCCCGCCACACCAUGGGAGCGGGUUCCGCCAGAAGUAGGUAGCCUAACCGCAAGGAGGGCGCUUACCACGGCGGGGUUCGUGACUGGGGUGAAGUCGUAACAAGGUA